AGAGUUUGAUCAUGGCUCAGAAUGAACGCUGGCGGCGUGGAUUAGGCAUGCAAGUCGAACGCGAAAGUGGCCUUCGGGUCAUGAGUAGAGUGGCGUAGGGUGAGUAAUGCUUGGACGACCUGCCCUCGAGACGGGGACAACAGUUCGAAAGGACUGUAAUACCCGAUGGUCCGUUCCGGAUGCGUCCGGAACGGUAAAUGAAUUUCGCUCGUGGAGGGGUCCAAGUCCUAUCAGCUUGUUGGUGAGGUAAAGGCUCACCAAGGCUUUGACGGGUAGCCGGACUGAGAGGUUGGCCGGCCACAUGGGAACUGAGACACUGUCCUGACUCCUACGGGAGGCUGCAGUCGAGAAUCUUCUGCAAUGGGCGAAAGCCUGACAGAGCGACGCCGCGUGGAGGACGAAGGCCUUCGGGUCGUAAACUCCGGUCACGUGUUAGGAAAACGUGGUUCAGGCCACGUCUGACAAAAGCACGAGAGGAAGUCACGGCCUAACUUCGUGCCAGCAGCCGCGGUAAGACGAAGGUGGCGAGCGUUAUUCGGAUUUACUGGGCAUAAAGCGCGCGUAGGCGGCUCGAUCAGUCGGUGGUGAAAGCCCGCAGCUCAACUGCGGAAUUGCCUCCGAUACUGUCGAGCUUGAGUGCAGGAGGGGUGAUUGGAACUCCAGGUGUAGCGGUGAAAUGCGUAGAUAUCUGGAGGAACACCAGAGGCGAAGGCGAAUCACUGGACUGCAACUGACGCUGAGGCGCGAAAGCUAGGGGGGCAAACAGGAUUAGAUACCCUGGUAGUCCUAGCUGUAAACGAUGGGCACUAGGCAGUGGAGGUCCGAUGCCGUCACUGUCGAAGCUAAUGUGAUAAGUGCCCCGCCUGGGGAGUACGGCCGCAAGGUUGAAACUCAAAGGAAUUGACGG
rnacentral:rRNA from 1 species